rnacentral:lncRNA from 1 species
UUCAUAAUUUAAAUGUAACCUUGUGGCUUAAUAUCUCUAGGUAAUGAUCAUAAUAUUGAGAACAGCAGGAUUGCCUUAAGUAGAUAACAAGCCCUUAAUGUACUGUUUGAAAAAAGAUAGGCAUAAUUAGAUAAAAUACUCAUUUCUUUUAUUCAUCAAUGUUAAUGAGAAACUACAGUGUGUCAGCACAGUGUUAGGUAGAAGAGACAUAAAGAUUAAUACAUUAUGGUUUAUUGCCCUUAAUCAACCAAGCCAAUAGCUAUAUAUUGCAUUUUAUUGUUUUUAAAUAAAUGUAAAUUCUCUAAUUUAAAUGUAGCAGAUAAUUUCAUUGACUCCCAUACAAACAAGAAAUAGACAUAGUCAAGAAAGCAAGCAGAGAAUAUUGGCUCUAUGAAACUUGAUUUUAUAGCUUUUAGCUAGAUCUCCUUUUAAAUGCCUGCAACAGGAAAGAAAGAAGGGAAGGGAAAAGUGGGAAAGGAUUAGGAGGAAGGAGAGAAUAUCACACUGAGGGGCAGUAAGGAGUGGAAGCAAAGAGAGUAAGACUAAAGGGAAAGAGAAGCUGAAAGAGACUGAGGGCAUGAGAGGAGGGGAGAAUAGGAGAGAGUCAGGGCUUUCUGUCACGGCAGAACUCAGUCACAAAGCUCUGAGCCCAGGCUGCAAACGAGCAAACAGCAUGGACAUAAGUACUGGAUAUUGCCAGCAUAGCUGCCCUAACUGGGAACAGCUCCUGACAAGUCUCCCUUCUUCCACCCUUUCAGCCCUGCAGUCUGUCCUCACUGAAGCAGCCAGAACGAAGCUUACAGACUCAGUUGGAUCAUGUUUCUUGCUCAGUAACUUCCAAUGGUUUCCCAUUUUAUUUAGGGUCAAAGCCACCAUCCUUUUAAUGGUCUAUAAGGCCUUACACUUUUUUUCCUUCUUUAAUUCUCUGACCUUAUCUCCUGCUACUCUACUCCAGCUCACUGGCCUCCUUCCCUCCCUCAAAAUCGCAGAUGGGCUCCUGGCCCAGAGUUCUGCACUGGCUAUUUUCUCUUCUAGAAAUUGUUCUUCCCAUCGGACUUCUGGUUCUCUCAAGUCUUUACUCACAUGUCAACUUCUCAAAGAGGCUUGUCCUUAGGACGGAUGAGGGAGAUGAUGAAGCGAUUCUUUCUAACAACUCUCGCAAUCCUCCUUGCUUCCCUCUAUUAUUGUUUCUCCUUAUCCAGGGUCCUUGUCAUGUCAAUAGAAUUUAUCACAUUUAUGGUUUAAUAUCUAUCUCCUACAAAAGAAUAUAAACUCUGAAAAAUAUAGGAUUUUAUUUUUUUAUCUUUUUGUUCACUUAUAUACCCCCAACAUUGUGAACAUUGGAUGGCUCAUAGCAGUUAAUAUAAACAUGUGUACCUUAAUAAAUAAACGACAUUGGUUCUACACCUAAUUUUCUUUGGGGAUUCAUAACAGAGCACCAAUUUAUUCUUAGAUGUUAAACUUUAAAAUAUUUCCUCUGUAUACAUACAUUAACAAAUGUUGACAUGAUUGCUACUAAUACAUUAUUAAUGCAUUUUGAUUGAUAUGAAUACUUUGGCUUAUUCUCUUUCAUAAUCCAUGUAAACAAUCAUCACUUUCUUUCACAAUCUAUUUGGAAGCCACUAUCAAGUUUGUGUGUGUUUGUGUGCGUGUGUAUGUCAAACCUUCUACCCUAAUCAUUACGUGUACGUGGAAAAAGACUUGUAAAAUGUACUACGGCAGUACAAAGGAAGCUGUAUUAAACCAAUAAGUGUUAGAAGGGGCAUUCAGAAUGAUUUCAUGAGAUGAUGCUUGGUUAGGAAUUUUAUACUCAUUCUGAAAUUAUUUAGGAAAUGUAGACCGCGAAAACAGCAUGCUGUGAGAUUAAAAAGUGAGAAAUUAUAUGAAAGCACAUCCUGGUGGAUUUCCUACAUGGAUUUUCAUGUAGCUGUAUUUAAGAAGGGAACAUGUGAAAAGAUUUUCAUAUCUGGAAAAUAAUAAAAAUAUUCAUCAACCUCUUUCAAAAUCCAGCUGAAAUGAUGCUUUCACCUAUCCACCUUGUCAGUAAGCCACUCCUGCAAUCCUUCUCCUUACCAUGCAAACAUGCUAUCUCCUUUCUGUAUUCUUCCAUACUUUUUAAGAAAAAUUUCAAUUAUCUUAUAACUUUAAUAAAUUUCUGCCUUUCCUAUUAGUUUGCUAUAGAUUUUAUAGUUGCAAAUUACUCAAGCUACUUUUUAAAUACUAUAGCAUAAAAAGAGUUUAUUAGAAUUUCCUCGGGUAUAUUUUUGAAUGGUCAUAAACACUGUAGAAGCAGGAGUAGGCAUGAACAUGCGGUCACAGAUAUUGGCCAAUUAGGGUAAUGUCACUGGUGUCCCCCCUGACAUGUUCGCCACUAUGUGGCCGCACUUUGCCCCCUAGACACUCUCAACUGUGCCUGUCUUCUCUCAGCUACCUGCUGUCAUAAUCUGUAAAUGACACUCAGCUUUUCCUUCACUUCCUUAUGGUACACAUCCUUGGGUAGGGAUGUAUUAUUUCAUUUGCUUGGAUCAUGUGUCCCCCAACUUCAGCUAAACAAAGAGAGCACCUGUCUUCCAACUCCUCCACAACCACACAAUUUUCUUCAGUGGUUGGAGGAAUUCCUCUGCUUUCCAUUGAAAUAGGUAAGAUCUGAUGGCCUGAAAAACAUACAUUAGAAUCCACACAAUGACCUCCCCAGUGAAUAUGUCCUUCUUGCUAUAUUUAUAUAAAAAUAUCUCCUCUAAACCUAAUUAAACUACUUCUUGUACAACCAAAACCUCACCCCAAUGAUUCUGUAAGGAUACAAUCCAAUGUUCAAACACUGAAUUUAGUUUCAAGCUCAGAUUUCUUUAUAUUUAUUAUAAUUCUGCCUCAUUUCCCUGAUAGCUAAUGACGUUGAGCAUCUUUUCACAUGCCUGUUGGCCAUCCGUAUAUCUUCUUUGGAGAAAUCUCUGUUCAGAUCUUUUGCCCAUUUUUUAACUGGAUUGGUGGUGUUUUUGUUGCUGAGCUGUAUGAGUUCUUUGUAUAUUUUGGAUAUUAACCCCCUGUCAGGUAUAUAUGGUUUGCAAAUCAAAACUACAAUGAGGUAUCACCUCACUCAGGUCAGAAUGGCUAUAAUUAACAAGACAGGAAACAACAAAUGUUGGAGAGGAUGCGGAGAGAAGGAAACCCUUGUUCACUGCUGGUGGGAGUGCAAACUGGUGCAGCCACUAUGAAAAGCAGUAUGGAGUAUCCUCAGAAAAUUAAGAAUAGAUCUACCAUAUGAUCCAGCUAUCCCACUGCUGGGUAUUUAUCCAAAGAACUUGAAAACGCAAAGGCAUAAAGAUACAUACACCCCUAUGUUCAUUGUAGCAUUAUACACAAUAGCCAAGACAUGGAAGCAACCUAGGUGCCCAUCAAGGGGCGAAUGGAUAAAGAAGAUGUGGUAUUUAUACAUGAUGGACUACUACGCAGCCAUAAGAAAUGAUGAAAUCCGGCCAUUUGUCACAACAUGGAUGGACCUUGAGGGUAUUAUGCUGAGUGAAAUAAGUCAGAGGGAGAAAGUAAAUACCAUAUGAUCUCAUUCAUAAGUAGAAGAUAAAAACAAUGACAAACAAACACUUAGCAUUGGAGAUUGGAUUGGUGGCUACCAUAGGGGAAGUGGGGGGAGGGAAAAAGGGGUGAUUAGGCUCACAUGUGAAGGGAUGAACUAUAAUUAGUUUUUGGGUGGUGAACAUGAUGUAAUGUACACAGAAUUUGAAAUAUAUUAUGAUGUACAUCCGAAAACAAAUUAAUUAAUUAAAAAAUAAUAAUUCUGCCUCAAUAUUAUUUAAUAUAUACCAUAAAUUAUAAGUAUAGUAAAAUAUAUAUAAAAUAAUGUGGAAGAAAUAAUUAAAAGAAAAAUUAAACUAUGUGGUAUAAGAUCUGAUAAAAGGAAAGGGAAGUGGGUGGUAUACUCUGCAUUUCUGCAACUCGUCAUGGAAUUUUAGUGACAUUUGUUACUUAGAACUUUCUUCCUCCAUUGACUAGUCAAUCAGCAGUAUGACUUUCCCCCCCCCCACAAGCUUUCUUAGGUUGAUAACUCAAUUGUAAUUUCUGAAGGAAACGAACUCUUGGUGAUCUGUCUGGGAUGGGUGAGCAUGUUUCGUCAGCUUUUUCCUCAGAUGAUUAUUUUCUUCCAUAUUCCUCCAUGCCUCCAUGGUGUAGCAAAAUCUAUUUCCCUUUGGUAAUCAGGAUAAUCAUCCAAAACAACAUUGGGAUUCCACUUUUGGCCUCCUCAGUGGAACCUGUUAGCUGGUUCAGUUAAUUCAAUGCAUGUUGACUGUCGUCUCUUUGGGAAAUAUUUUACAAAGUCUUUUAAGCAUGGGCCUCAGAGUUACAGGGCCAUAAAAAUAUUUCAAGUGGGCCAGUAGGUCUAAUAUCAGAAGAUGCCACCCAACUUCUUCCAAUUUGUUUUUGGAAUCAUGACCAUAUCCAAAUCCAAGAAAUCUGUGUAUAUGUUACUUUACAUGGCAAAAGGGACUUGGCAGGGGCCGGCCAGGUGGUGCAGCGGUUAAGUUAGCACAUUUCACUUCUCGGCGGCCUGGGGUUCAUCAGUUCGGAUCCCGGGUGCGGACAUGGCACCUCUUGGCACACCAUGCUAUGGUAGUCAAUUUACCUCUUUUUCUCCUUGGUGCUUUUGUAGAACUGGUAUUUCUCCCCAUGAGUAAUUUUGCUGAGCAUC